rnacentral:rRNA from 1 species
AUUGAACGCUGGCGGCAGGCCUAACACAUGCAAGUCGAACGGAGUGGCGGACGGGUGAGUAAUGUCUGGGAAACUGCCUGGUAGUGGGGGAUAACGUCUGGCAACGGGCGCUAAUACCGCAUACUAUCAGAUGAGCCUAGGUAGGAUUAGCUAGUUGGUGGGGUAAAGGCAGACCAAGGCGACGAUCCUUAACUGGUUUGAGAGGAGGAUCAGCCACACGGGAACUGAGACACGGUCCAGACGCCUACGGGAGGCAGCAGUGGGGAAUAUUGGACAAUGGGCGAAAGCCUGAUCCAGCCAUGCCGCGUGUGUGAAGAAGGUCUUCGGAUUGGAAAGCACUUGAAGUUGGGAGGCGUUACCAACAGAAUAAGCACCGGCUAACUUCGUGCCAGCAGCCGCGGUAAUUC